rnacentral:rRNA from 1 species
GACGAACGCUGGCGGCGUGCUUAACACAUGCAAGUCGAGCGGUAAGGCCCUUUCGGGGGUACACGAGCGGCGAACGGGUGAGUAACACGUGGGUGACCUGCCCUCAGCUCUGGGAUAAGCCCGGGAAACUGGGUCUAAUACCGGAUAUGACUCCAUGACGCAUGUUGUGGGGUGGAAAGCCUUGUGCGGCUGAGGAUGGGCCCGCGGCCUAUCAGCUUGUUGGUGGGGUGANGGCCUACCAAGGCGACGACGGGUAGCCGGCCUGAGAGGGCGACCGGCCACACUGGGACUGAGACACGGCCCAGACUCCUACGGGAGGCAGCAGUGGGGAAUCUUGCGCAAUGGGCGAAAGCCUGACGCAGCGACGCCGCGUGAGGGAUGACGGCCUCGG